UUAGUUUUAUAUAAUUUAUACAAAAACUUGCAAAUCUUAUAUUUACAAAAAUUUAA
rnacentral:tRNA from 1 species